rnacentral:rRNA from 1 species
UACGUAGGGUGCGAGCGUUAAUCGGAAUUACUGGGCGUAAAGCGUGCGCAGGCGGUUGGUUAAGUCUGAUGUGAAAGCCCGGCUCAACCUGGAAUGGCAUUGGAACUGGCUGGCUAGAGUGUGGCAGAGGGGGUGGAAUUCCGCGUGUAGCAGUGAAAUGCGUAGAGAUGCGGAGGAACACCGAUGGCGAAGGCAGCCCCUGGCUGACACUGACGCUCAGGCACGAAAGCGUGGGGAGCAAACAGG